UACAGAGGGUGCAAGCGUUAAUCGGAAUUACUGGGCGUAAAGCGCGCGUAGGCGGCUUUGCAAGUCGAUUGUGAAAUCCCCAGGCUUAACCUGGGAACUGCAUUCGAGACUGCAUAGCUAGAGUAUGGGAGAGGGAAGUGGAAUUUCAGGUGUAGCGGUGAAAUGCGUAGAUAUCUGAAGGAACAUCAGUGGCGAAAGCGACUUCCUGGACCAAUACUGACGCUCAUGUGCGAAAGCGUGGGGAGCAAACAGG
rnacentral:rRNA from 1 species